rnacentral:tRNA from 1 species
UAACGCAUAGUUUAAGUUAAGAAUGUUUGCUUUGGGUGCAUGAGGUUUUUUAAAUGUGUUAA